GAAACGUCGACAAAAAUAGAAUAGAGGUAUAAUUUGCACAAACUUAAAACAUCACGGCCAAAAGUGCUUUUUAGCCAAAUUUCAAAAGAAAGCUGGGUUGGUUGCAUUGAAGCACCCACGAUUUAACACUGAUAUCCAAAAACCCAUAAUGAGGAUGAAGAAGCACCUCAUUGAUCUUGGUGGUUUUUCUGAAGAUAACAUCACUCUCAUGAUUGAGGAUGAACCGUCCUGUACCCUGCAGCCCACUGAGGACAACAUACGAACUAUGCUAUACAAGCUGGUUGCGUAUGCUAAGCCAGGUGACAUACUCUUCAUCCACCUCAUAGCUCAUGGCUGUUGUGAAGGCACUAUUACCUCUUCUGAUAAACAAUCCAUAGAAGAUUAUUUUUUCAGGGCACUUAUAAUAAUAGGCGUCAAAAAUGGUUGUACUAUGACAUUUGUAUCCGAUUGCCUAAUUGAACCAGCUGUGGAGCCCGAGUGUUGUAGUCUUGUAAUGCCAUCAGAUGUCAUGAGUUUGGAGCAACUAGGAGAGUUGGACAUAUAUUCCGCGAAUAAUCCACAGGAUGUCAAAUUUGUGGUGGCCGGUAUUAGAUCUUUGUUACCCACCAAUUUGUCUCCUGUAGAUAUCCUCAAAACUACUGAAGAUCAAACCCAACAUCAGGGUUAUGUGACUCCAGUUCUCAAGACUUUCUCCAAGCUCUCAAAAUUGAUUUUUCAACCAAGGAAGAGCUUCCUUCCAGAUUCACGUGUAAUUCUGUUGAGCGCUUUCGAACGUGAUCAAAAGACAACCGCCACCACGGAAGCUCAUUCCAUUUUUUCACCUCCGCCUGAAUUAUUCUACCCCCACCAAAGGAAGAUUCUUCCACAACCACAUUAUUAUACGGGGGUUUCAGCAAUACCAUACUCGACGUAAUUGACGAGACUCAUGGUCAAGUUACAAACUUGGAGCUCGCUCAACAGGCUAUGGCAAAACUUAGGAUGCUGGGUAUUCAUCAAAAACCUGGACCCUGUUGCACUGACCGCCACCAUGCAUAUGCUCCUUUUUUCUGUUGAUCUGGUGGAAGACCAAGAGAGACUGGUGUAUUAUUCAAUUGAUGUUAGUUCUUUUAUUUUCCAUCUCAGUUAGAUACAUGUUUUAUAAAUUUCCAUUUGAGUGGUAGUUUUCUGCUUUAUGUUUUAGAUUCUGUUUCAAUUUACUCAACUAGGUUACAUACUUACAUGCUUCAUGUCACACAUUGGAGCUCAUGCUUGCAUUAGUAUUAUGUUUUUUUACUUCUUAAGUCAUUUGACACAAGUUCCCACUUAAAGUGAAUCCAUUUUCUGCACGACAUCCUUUAAAUUUUAAAGGACGUGGGUGUGAAAACAUAAUGUUUUCAAAUAAUUGUUAAUAGGGAGUUAUGGGUUUAUGUAAAUGUCAUCCAUUAAAAAAAUAGUAAUAAAUCUAAUGGUUUGAAAAAUUUUAAAAACUGAACCGCCAGGGGGCAAAAAAAAAAAUUCCAUGGUAGACUAAAGUCUUCUUAUAAUAGGAUAAUGACAUGCACGCCAUGAUCUACUUACUGCAGCAUAUUGUUAAGUAAAUGCACUUUUUCUUCAUAUCUAACUUAAUAUGGUUGUGUGUAUGAAUGUCAUUCCACUAAUACGUGUUGCCUGACUCAUUCUUACAGCUUUAUGGGUAGUGAGACCAACAUGUUUUAACGUACUGUCAAAAGGGAGUCUUUGUGGGGAUUUUUUUUUAAUUGGAUUUUUUAAUCUUUUUUACAGCUCCAUGGUUAUUUCCUUAUUAUAUUGUAAUUCAAGUUGCUUCAACUCCACAAAUAUAUAAUUAUUUUUAAUAUUAGACAUGCUUAAAAAUGGUAAGACUCUCAAUUCUGAUUUGGAAAGUGUGCAAGGUACCUGAAACUAGGUGGCGAUCGUGAAGGUUUAUUCUACACUUCUGAAUCUGAGGUUAUAAAGAUCGGAUAAAUUUUGAGGCUUGAAGUUAAACAAGAGAAAAAGACUAGAUUCUGUGAGGUUGCUAAAAUCAGCUUUUAUAGAUAAUGAAGGAUCAUUUUGAUCUUUUCUAAACUGUCUAAAUACACUUAGCUGGACCAUGACUGAAUUUCCGCUUUCUGUUAGUGAAAUGCAAGAAAAGUACCAGGUAAUAGAUUUUCAGCAAAGGAAAUGUUGUGUCAUAUUCAAGCUUCUCGUGUAAUCUUACAAGGAUUCUAGAGUUCUACACUCGGGGACUUCUCAAAAAUUCAUUUGAAAUUAUCUUAAAUCACACGACUUCUACACCGGAUGCUGAUCCCUUUAACUUCUGAGUUCCAAGCCUGUAACUUUAACUUCACACAAAUCUGACAUAUUUAAGUUGUUGUUUAUCCAUCGGCCAUAUUUGGAUAUUGCUUCUGGAGAGACCAAUAGUCCAACCUUAUCACUAACCUUUGGGAUUUUGGAACCUGGUGGGUAUGUUGAAAAUAGUUUCAAUCCAUGAUUUUUUUACUAUAGGUUUUGCUUCUUUUUUUUUCUUUUUAAAUAUUUUUCAGACCACUUAUUUUAUUUAUAAGGCUUUGUUAGCGUUUAGAAAUCCAUGUGUUGAUUGGAUCAAGCCCCCAGCUGCAUUCAGUCAACCUACAAUUCAUUGCUUUAGAUUGUGUAAAUUGGUUAUUAGCAUAUAUACCCGAACAUUAUCGUGUGCAUAUAUAGCCUGUUUAGGUAUGGACCUAUUGGCGUUUUAUCUACUAGAAAAGACACUAGAUAAGCUUAAAUAAGUGAUUCUU